rnacentral:rRNA from 1 species
GACGAACGCUGGCGGCGUGCUUAACACAUGCAAGUCGAACGGAAAGGCCCCUUUGGGGGUACUCGAGUGGCGAACGGGUGAGUAACACGUGAGUAACCUGCCCUUGACUUCGGGAUAACUUCAGGAAACUGGGGCUAAUACCGGAUAGGAAUCCUUGCUGCAUGGUGGGGGUUGGAAAGCUUCGGCGGUUUUGGAUGGACUCGCGGCUUAUCAGCUUGUUGGUGGGGUAGUGGCUUACCAAGGCUUUGACGGGUAGCCGGCCUGAGAGGGCGACCGGCCACAUUGGGACUGAGAUACGGCCCAGACUCCUACGGGAGGCAGCAGUGGGGAAUAUUGCACAAUGGGCGGAAGCCUGAUGCAGCAACGCCGCGUGCGGGAUGACGGCCUUCGGGUUGUAAACCGCUUUGAGCAGGGGCGAAGCUUGUGGUGACGGUACCUGCAGAAGAAGCACCGGCUAACUACGUG